AUCUUUGCGCAGAGGCGAUAUCGUAACCAAUGAAGUUCUACUGAGGUGCGAUUAUUGCUAGUUGAAACCUAGUAAAUUACGUUUAAUUUAUUUAUUCACACAGUUGUU